CAGUCGCCGCGGUAAUACGAAGGGGGCUAGCGUUGUUCGGAUUUACUGGGCGUAAAGCGCACGUAGGCGGACUUUUAAGUCAGGGGUGAAAUCCCGGGGCUCAACCCCGGGACUGCCUUUGAUACUGGGAGUCUUGAGUCCGAGAGAGGUGAGUGGAAUUGCGAGUGUAGAGGUGAAAUUCGUAGAUAUUCGCAGGAACACCAGUGGCGAAGGCGGCUCACUGGCUCGAUACUGACGCUGAGGUGCGAAAGCGUGGGGAGCAAACAGGAUUAGAUACCCGCGUAGUCCCUGUCUCUUAUAC
rnacentral:rRNA from 1 species